rnacentral:rRNA from 1 species
AUUGAACGCUGGCGGCAUGCCUAGCACAUGCAAGUCGAACGGCAGCACGGUCUAGUUUACUAGAUGGGUGGCGAGUGGCACACGGGUGAGUAAUACGUAGGAAUAUACCUUAAAGAGGGGGAUAACUUGGGGAAACUCAAGCUAAUACCGCAUAAUUUCUAAGGAGGAAAGCUGGGGACCAUUUGGCCUGGCGCUUUAAGAUUAGCCUACGUCCGAUUAGCUAGUUGGUAGGGUAACGGCCUACCAAGGCGACGAUCGGUAGCUGGUCUGAGAGCAUGAUCAGCCACGCUGGGACUGAGACACGGACCAGACUCCGGCGGGAGGCAGCAGGGGGGAAUAGUGGACAAUGGGGGCAACCCUGAUCCAGCGAUGCCGCGUGUGUGAAGAAGGCCUACGGGUUGUAAAGCACUUUCGGUGGGGAGGAGGGCUUAUAGGUUAAGAGCUGAUAAGUUGGACGUUACCCACAAAAGAAGCACCGGCUAACUCCGUGCCAGCCGCCGCAGUAA